ACCAUGGCAUACAGACAGCAUGUCAUGUUAAUUUUUGGAUGUUAUUAUAUUCAUCUACGUUGAUAUAUUUUAACAACACGUGAAAUUGUUUCUUCGUUGUUAAGAAAGAUUCGUUCAUUAUCGAACUUUAGAAAUCGGCAAACACUGCUCCCAGUUUUCACAGAACUUCGUCUGCUGUUAAAAAAAUAGUCAAGAAACAAAACUGACGUCACGUCGUGAGCGUGAGUUACCACUUACCAUAUCAUAACAUGGGUUGGAGUUUCAACCAUUGAAUUGAAUGGUUAAAGUGAGCAUUUAGUAAAGGAGUCCGUUCACGCAAAGUGUCCUUUUGUUUCUCGAUUCCUCAAUCUGUGUUAUCUGUUAUCCCACCGGUGUCCCGUCCACCUUCACGUGGUUGAAACUGUCGAAUCCAGAAUUGUUUGAUACAGCCCAGGAUCCCCAGACUACAUCGGCGCAAGAAGUGAGGCAUGAAUUGUUUCGCUAGCGUUUGGUUUUAAAUCUCUCCAUUCUGAAAAAAAAAGGUGUGAGUGUUGCAAGAAGAUUUUGUUGUGUGCGUCUUUAUCAGUCCAAUUUUAAACCACCAAAUUGUCCAGAGAAAACCUGGUUGCCUGAAGUACAAACAUGUGAUGAAUUUAAUGCAAACUGCAGAGAGUGAAGUACUCAGGUGUUCAGUGGCAGCAACACUACUAUACUAUAUAGAUGAAUUGCCAGAUAAAAUGUUUUACCAAUCUCCAAUCAACAUGAAAAUUAACAGGAUUCAAAAUACGACCGUUGAAGAAAAAUGAUAGACAGUUUAAAGUACAUCAACAUUAGUCUCGAAAAGUGUUGGUUAGUCCAGGCAGGUUGGUUUUGCCUACAUGUUCCAGGUUUGCAACAAAGUUUUUCAAGUACUGACUCGAACACCAGAUAAAAUGAAAAAUCAAUCUUCUGAUUAUCCAACAAUCCAGCUGAAGUUUUCUUGUGACAUGGGUGCUAGUGAGAAUUGGGGGAAAAGAUGGUCCAAUCCAAUAAACUAAGCUGUGUCUUCCCAAUCUAAGGAAAUCCUAUUUGCAAGGGUGUGGAAUCCUGGAAGUAUUGCUGACUACUACCUCGGGUCAACAUUUGGUCUAGUUGCGGAUGCAUUUUCGCCAUACUUUACCGUCAGAAGCCGUUCUUAAGUGGACAGUCGUAGGGAGUUGAUCCAAAAUCUUGAGAGCACUAUUUGUAACAUCCCUGAAAUCGCGAGUCGGCCGCCGAGGUCAAUCUAUAACGCAGUUUCUUUAUUGGAAUUGUAUGGUCCUGGCACAGAGAUUCUUGAGCCAAUGCUGGGCUUUGUCUAUGACAGAAACAACUGGUAUUUUACUCCACUGACGAGUUAGGCCACUUCAGUGGUCGCUUUCGCCCGCUGUGACACACCUGUAAUCAUUCACCACGGGAUUACACCCAGUCAUAUGUCCACCAGGUGGCGGAGACGCGAGUGUCGAUUCGGGAGUGACGUCCAGCAGCCAUUUUUUCCGAGAAAUUGUUGAGCCAGAGACCUAGAGUGCCACACUGUUCAGAAUUUAGAAUAGAAUCUCGAAUUGUCGAUGAAUGCCCCCUCUUCGAUAUUUAGAUGAAAAUUGAAAAGUUAAUUUAGCUUAUUUACACUUGGCCAAAUCAUCUGGUCACAUGUCCGCUGAAUGUCGUCCAUUGCUACGUGUACGGGCGUGUUCCUAUGCCGAAAUACUUGACAGAAGAAGUUUCACAAACAGUGGAAGUCUGAACUUCUGCAGUGCUGUCUAAUAACAUGCUCAUGGAUUGGUUGCAGCCAGUUGGUGCAGUGAGCUCUUCAUGCAGUCUGUGCUGGUGUUCCAUCUGAUCAUAAAGCCUGAAACUGCCGUACAUUUUCUUGAAAUGUCGUCUCUUGCUGCAAGUAGGACCAGCCGUAUGUUUCUUCACGUGCAGAAAUACUUUUGGAACAAUUUAAAGUAGUAUUACCAGCCAUUUGAAUUCUUGGCUUCACCUAUUUCUGCGCUGCUGUCUAAUGGACAACAUGGACUUGUUCAGCCAGCCGGUGAAUUUUACAUCAUAACUUUUUCCUAAUGCCACCUUUUAAAGUUUGGAACUUUGUCACUUCAUCCAGUCUAGCAUUUGCAUCCAAUUUUGCAGACCUGUGUUUUGAACAUCAAUAAUGUGCACUAAUUGAAGGUUUAUCCCAUACUUGCUGCCCAAAGUGGUGUGUUGCUCCAGCCCAUGGCAGUGAAAGAUAUUUUUCUUCAAGUUAAACUGUGGCUGUUCCUUGGUGCUGGCGUCGAGAUACGGAAGUUGCAUACUGUAUUUUGUUCAAUUUUAUAUGCGUCUUAAUUGUUUAUAUGUUGAAGGAAAAAGAAUCAGAAACGUGGGAAGAUUUUACGUAGAAAAAAAAUAAACAUUUUUAGGGUUGGGAAUAAACGAGGAGGAAGAUGGUGGGGUGGGAACAGAUUUGAUUUAGAGCUAAAUAUUCAUAAAUGGUGUCGUGAAAGGAAGUGAUAAAACCAAUGCCAACCCAUCACAUUUAACCUAAACCCAUAAUACCCAUACCUGUAGUAUCCAUACCCCUAAUACCCAAACUUACUAUAUACAUAUACCUAUUAUCCAUACCUCAAAUAUACAUACCACUUAAUCCUAUACCUCCAAUAUCACUUCCUAUUCACUUGCUAAUUAU